rnacentral:rRNA from 1 species
UACGGAGGGUGCGAGCGUUGUCCGGAAUCACUGGGCGUAAAGAGCGUGUAGGCGGCCAGGUAGGUCUGCUGUGAAAACUCGAGGCUCAACCUCGAGAUGUCGGCGGAAACCAUCUGGCUAGAGUCCGGAAGAGGAAAGUGGAAUUCCUGGUGUAGCGGUGAAAUGCGCAGAUAUCAGGAGGAACACCGGUGGCGAAGGCGGUUCUCUGGGCAU